rnacentral:rRNA from 1 species
CUCCUACGGGAGGCAGCAGUGAGGAAUAUUGGACAAUGGGCGCAAGCCUGAUCCAGCCAUGCCGCGUGCAGGAUGACGGUCCUAUGGAUUGUAAACUGCUUUUGCACAGGAAGAAACAACGCUACGUGUAGCGUCUUGACGGUACUGUGAAAAUAAGGAUCGGCUAACUCCGUGCCAG